GGCAUGGUGGCACAGUGGUUAGCACUGCUGCCUCUCAAAAAGCCGGUUCCGGGUUCGAGCCCUGGCUGGCCA